GACGAACGCUGGCGGCGUGCUUAACACAUGCAAGUCGAACGAUGAACCCGGAGCUUGCUCCGGCGGAUUAGUGGCGAACGGGUGAGUAACACGUGAGUAACCUGCCCUUGACUCUGGGAUAACUGCGGGAAACUGUAGCUAAUACCGGAUACGACCCUCGGCGGCAUCGCCAGGGGGUGGAAAGAAUUUCGGUCAAGGAUGGACUCGCGGCCUAUCAGCUAGUUGGUGAGGUAACGGCUCACCAAGGCGACGACGGGUAGCCGGCCUGAGAGGGUGACCGGCCACACGUGGACUGAGACACGGCCCAGACUCCUCCGGGAGGCAGCAGUGGGGAAUAUUGCACAAUGGGCGCAAGCCUGAUGCAGCAACGCCGCGUGAGGGAUGACGGCCUUCGGGUUGUAAACCUCUUUUAGUAGGGAAGAAGCGAAAGUGACGGUACCUGCAGAAAAAGCACCGGCUAACUACGUGCCAGCCGCCGCAGUAA
rnacentral:rRNA from 1 species